ACCGCACCGCACGCAGCUGAAGCCGAGCCCGGAUCGCUCUUGUGCCCUGGUUGAUUCCGUGUGCUCCAGGGACUCCGUACGCGAGCAAAGGACCCCAGGGAAACCCCGCACCCCCUGUCCCGAUCUUCCCCGUUGUCGCACGCCUCUUUCUCUCUUUCCCCACCGCUAGAGCACUGCCUCUCUGGUAUUGGAUCUCGCCGGAGGAGCUCGAGGUCGCCGUCGUUCACCGCCUGUUUCUGAUGCCACCACCAGAACGACGCCGCCGCCAAUGCUCGAUUUCACCGGAGCACCGAGGUUCACCUCGCCACCGUCGCCUACAGAGGGCGUAUCGCCACCGUCCGACACCACCACCACCUCCGCCACUUGUCGUUGAACCCAUCCGCCACUUCACCCUCGCCGGAGACCCACCAGAGAGCCGCCGCCGACGACGACCGACCGCCGCCACCGUUUUUCCGUUUCUGAUUGUCCGGAGUGCGACGCGAGCUAUUGUCAGGAGUGUGACUUUCUGAACCAGAACCAAG